rnacentral:rRNA from 1 species
AACUGAAGAGUUUGAUCAUGGCUCAGAUUGAACGCUGGCGGCAGGCUUAACACAUGCAAGUCGAGCGGGGGAAGGUAGCUUGCUACUGGACCUAGCGGCGGACGGGUGAGUAAUGCUUAGGAAUCUGCCUAUUAGUGGGGGACAACAUCUCGAAAGGGAUGCUAAUACCGCAUACGUCCUACGGGAGAAAGCAGGGGAUCUUCGGACCUUGCGCUAAUAGAUGAGCCUAAGUCGG